rnacentral:rRNA from 1 species
AUUGAACGCUGGCGGCAGGCCUAACACAUGCAAGUCGAGCGGUAACAGAGAGAAGCUUGCUUCUCUGCUGAAGAGCGGCGGACGGGUGAGUAAUGCCUAGGAAUCUACCUAGUAGUGGGGGAUAGCUCGGGGAAACUCGAAUUAAUACCGCAUACGUCCUACGGGAGAAAGGGGGCAACUUGUUGCUCUCGCUAUUAGAUGAGCCUAAGUCGGAUUAGCUAGUUGGUGGGGUAAAGGCCUACCAAGGCGACGAUCUGUAGCUGGUCUGAGAGGAUGAUCAGCCACACCGGGACUGAGACACGGCCCGGACUCCUACGGGAGGCAGCAGUGGGGAAUAUUGGACAAUGGGGGCAACCCUGAUCCAGCCAUGCCGCGUGUGUGAAGAAGGCCUUUUGGUUGUAAAGCACUUUAAGCAGUGAAGAAGACCUAACGGUUAAUACCCGUUAGCGAUGACAUUAGCUGCAGAAUAAGCACCGGCUAACUCUGUGCCAGCCGCCGCCGUAAGAC